AAACGCUAUUUCUGACAUUUGACGAUAGCCGAUACGGAACAUUUUUGUUUUCCUCCGUCACUCGAUUGCUCCGGCUUUUUCUUUCUUAUUAUCUUUCCUCCUCGUAACGUCCCCACCCUGAUUCGAUGCUACUUCGCUUUUUCUGCCCCUCUUGCCCCUCUACAAUCACGAUUGCUUCUGCUCGCUCGUGUGCACAGUGCUCUCUCGCUCGCUCGUUCGUUCGUUCGGCUCCUCUCGAGUGCCGUCUCUCCUCGACGAUUCUUAGUUCCCAUAAUGAACCGUACGACGUGGUUCGUGGUUAAGAGCAAACGGACGUACCAGUUUUCCCCUCUCAUUAACGAUGGUUUUCGAGGAACUUGACCUUUUAAAGUUUAAAGACUCGAAACAAAACCGUCGCUAAAAUUUACUUUGUAACGUUAUUUCACCGGCAAUUUUACGUAUUUUUCGCGACAAUUCCUAACCUGUUUCCGACGUUACGGUGUCUCUCGGGAAGCGAGAAGCGCUCAACUACACCGAUAUCGUUUACAUACACAAUAGCGAUAUCAAAGUUUAUGAACAAACGCGUCUAAUCGAUAUUUUCUCUCUACGCGAUCAUGUACAGAGAUCUCUUUUUCAGAUUUUUAAAAGUUCUUGCAUAACGGUGAGCUAACGAUGCAACCAAACGAUUGCUCGCGUUCAAGUAUUUUCUGUCGAAACCAGUAUCGACGAAACAUCUUCCUGUUAUCGUCGAUGCGCGUUCGAUUCCAGUCGAUCCAAAUCGGAUCGAAUUUUUUCUCUCGUCAUCCUUCAUCCCCCCUGUUGAUCGUCGUGUUUUUUUCACCGUGGCCAACUGCGAACUCGUAACGCGUCACAGUCAAUCGCGCGAAUAAAGCAACCGAAGCGACGCAACUACCGUUUCGAUCGCGAAACGUAACCGAGCGAUCAUUUUCUUCUUUCAUUUUUUCCAUUAUAUUUCCAUUCGUCGUAACUUGCCUUUUCGAUUUCGCGAGAUACAAAAGGAAAAGCGUCGUUCGGCCUUGCCAAUCGAUUACGGUGGCUGCAGAAAUUUUCGAUCGAAUCAAAAGACUCUCGGAUACCGGAUAGAGAUUACGCAUGGCAUCGAAAACGUUUCGAAAUUUCGUUGGUCGAAUAGGAAACUCGACAGGUUCGAAUUUUGUUGCUCGUUUUCGUGCAACAAAGGUUAAAAGUAAAAAAGAGAAGAGGGAAUUAAGAAGAAACAAGUAGAACGUAGGUUCCAAGGUUGAUAUGUCCGAGGCACGAGCGAAAAGCAACGUUGUCAACGAAUCGAUAUCCGGAUGGGCGUGGCCUCGUCGAUCCUCGCGGAUGCUAUAACGUGGAAUCUCUCGAUGCAGAUGUUCUCGCUCGAAAAAUUUAGUCUUUUCGAAACUAGAUUCGAACCGGCUCCGAGUCGACUCGGCCGUUUCGCGAUCGACUCUCGUCGCGUCGUUGCGCGUUCCUGAACGGGAAAUUUAUUUUACCCUUGUCCGGCCGGUUUCCUUGCUUUUUUCACGCGUUCCCAAAGGGACUAGCCCGGUCCAUUAUCAGCGAAACGUUUCAAUUUCGAAAUCCAACCGCGUGGUCGGUCCAGCUUCCAUCGCGUUCUUUACUCUCGUUUGUCUCGAACAAAUGCCCCGUUAUUUCUCUCGGGCUACGAAUCGUUACCGCGUUUAUCUUUCUCCGACUCGCGUUUUCUUCAUUCUCCGUGUUCGCUAAUUGUUUUCUCACGUUUCCGGAAAGAAAUUCUCGUUCGUUACCUUCCACCGUUGUUCUUUAUUUCGUUUUGUUCACCGGUCGUUACGUGUAUGUACUUUAUCCGCUAUUCGACGAUAUUAAUGGGAAGCAAAGAAAUUUGCGUGGAAAGUCGAUUUGCAAAAAAGAUACGCGUGUAAAAAAGCUUUUCACCGUUUUAUUAAAAGAGAAAAAAAAGUCACGAUGAAACAAUACGGAAAAAUGUACGAUUUGGUAAAGAGAUUUUGAAAGGGAAUAAAAAAACGAACAAAGGUGUAUAAAAGGGUAAAAGAGAUUCGAGGAAAAAAUCUGGUCACGCUUGAGCGGCAGUGGGACGUUGGAGAAAGCGUCGCUGAAACGUCGGAAGGACAUUCGAAAGGGGCUAAAAGUCCACCCGGAGGAGAGAAGAAAAGUGGAAGGGAGGAGGGUAGUUGAAGGAAGGUCGUAGAGACGAGAGGAGAGCAGUUGGUUAGGGUAUGGGGCACAGUAUUGCGAGGAGAAGAGUAUUCGCAGCAUGUGGUCUCGUCAACCCCCUUACUCGCCUCUUUUCAUUCGGUUCCCCCUCUAGUGUCGUCCCUAUCUUUCAUCUACUACCUCAGCGCGCCGAUUUCGUAUUUUCAUUCUCGUCGCUCGACUCGAAUUUCCCCCCGGGCUCGAACUUGCUCCCUACCUCUUCAUCGUAAACGCUAAUUGCUCCAUACAAAUGUCCAAAAUCUACUUAACGUCUUCCUUUAACGCGAUACGAUGUACUUCCCUAUCUCUGUCCCUUCCGUUCCCCUUUCCUUUAUUGUCUCCGUUCUUUUUCUAGAAAUGUGAUCGCAAGUUUUCAAAUAACUCGCACUGCGUUUACCUUUUUACCUCCAAGAAUCUUCGACCUGUGAUUAAUCGCGACGCUAAAUAUUUGUGUCGAAAUUUAAAAAGAAAAUCUGGCACGUUAUCGUGUUGGUUUAGAAAAGGUAACGGGAAUCGUUAUAAUAGCCAUUCAAGAAGAAUAAAAGGAAAACAAUCGAAUCGAAUCGUAUUUGUAAUGGAGUAUUUCGACGAUUAAAAUUCAUCCGACAGAAACGAUGUACAAGUCGAUUUCUGAAUCAUAAUUGAAUCGAACGUUGAAAUUUGUUCGAUUGUAUAUGGCGCGUGCGAGCUCGCGUGUCCGUUACGCACGCGUUCGAAUACGGAGCGGAGACUAUCGUCGUUCCAUUGUCGUAAUUAGCCGGUGCGCGUUCGCGACGAUAGAGAGGGACAACGAGUAUCGGAUUGAAUAAUGGAAUGGAAAAACACGAUGCAUCGAUCGAAAUCGUGAACGCGACAGGUACCAAGAUCGGUAGUUACGUUACUGAACCACUACCCUCUAGCGGUUUGGUAAGUUGCUAGGAUACACCCCACGCUCGAAUCCCCCACGAUUCGGCUAUCGAUGCCCUUCUACUUAUCUACCACCGUGUUGUUUUCGAGAAGAACAGCAACCAGCACGAAACACGUACAAGCACACGGGGACAGAAAGAAACUCUUUUAGUGGUCUUUGCAUUUUUUACUCGGGACAGAAUAAACCUAUUCGACAAUAUGACUCGACGCGAAUAAGAAUGCUGCGAAUUACCAAUCAACUAAUUUAUACUGUUAUUCGAAAGACGACACGACCGUUAUUCAAGGAUAUCGCAACGAUUCGACACCUCGUUCGAACGACUCUAUCGAUAUAAAAUAUGCCUCGAAUCCAUUGUGUACAACGGAAAUCGACGAAACAACAGGUUUCCGCGUAGAAAGUACAAGACUAUAGAUAUUAAAAUUGUAUCGAGAAUCCGUGAUCGGCGUUGCCCAACGACGUUGAAAAUAUUUUCUCUCUUUCGGCGAACAAAUAAUAAGUAUUAUUCUCGUUCGAACGUAAAUGGCGCGCCGUGUGUUGACGAGUUAAAUUGCUCAUUGACGGUUUAUUGGUUUUCGUUCAAUUAGAAAAAUAUGGAAUCAAAACAUUCGGGGAAUUUGAUUUGCGAAUCUAAAUAUGCGAAGUAAAGUACAGAGCAUAGUAUUUACGAGUUAGUCGUGCUAUCCGUUUCAUUCAAACCAAAUAACUCGUCGCCGAGAGUGAGCUCGUAAUUGCUUUUACGCGAAUGCAAUUACGGAAGCUUAACGAUGACGCGACGCGCUUAAUUGCGUUUACGUUCGACCAGAAUAUCUGUGUAGUCGAAGGAGCAACGUACACAGGUA
rnacentral:lncRNA from 1 species